rnacentral:rRNA from 1 species
CACACGACUCUCGGCAACGGAUAUCUCGGCUCUCGCCUCGAUGAAGAACGUAGCAAAAUGCGAUACCUGGUGUGAAUUGUAGAAUCCCAUGAACCAUCAAGUUUUUGAACGCAAGUUGCGCCCGAGGCCUUCUGGUUGAGGGCACGCCUGCCUGGGCGUCACGC